AAGUUAAUUAAGCGUUAAAGGUUAGGAAAUAAGAAUGGAAUAUAUAAAUCAAUAGGAAAGAAAAAGUUUUGUAUUGGGUAAAGAUGAAAUUGUGAAAGCGUUAAAGGUAGUACUGUGAAGGAAGAAUGAAAUAAUUGAAAAUUGUUUGUAAGGGAAGUAGACGAAGGGUUGUACCUUUUGUAUCAGGGUUUAUUUAAUUAAUGAGUGAAAACUAAAAUCUCGAUACAAGGAGAGCUACUUGGAUAAAUUAGGUAAAGUAGCAAAUUUAUUUGACAUAUCUUUGUAGUAAUGAAAUGUUAGUCGUUCUUUGUGAUUUCUAGUUUUUCAAGAAAUGAAUUUAAUUCAGGGAUAAAACGAAUUUUGGGAAUUUUUCUUAAGUAUUUGAAAAUAUCCUAAUAAUUUGGGGGAUAAGCUUCAAGUUAUUUUUAAAACCAAUAAUGAGGGAUAAUUUAGGUAGGCUUAAAAUUAGCUAACGAUUAAAGGAUGUUAUAGUUUAAAUUUCCUAAGAAAGAAUUUUUAAGGGUUUAAUUAAUUUAUUGAAGAAUCAUUUAGAAUUUAAGGAAUGAGGUAUAAUGAUAAAAUAAGUAUAAAAUUUAAAUAAAAGUUUAAUUUUAGUAAGGAACUCGGCAAAAAUAGUGCUCGCCUGUUUAUCAAAAACAUGGCUUUCUGGAGAUAUAGAAGGUCUAACCUGCCCACUGAAGAUUUAAAGGGCCGCGGUAUUUUGACCGUGCAAAGGUAGCAUAAUCAUUAGUCUUCUAAUUAAAGGCUGGAAUGAAGGGUUGGACGAGGUACUAGCUGUCUCACUGAAAUGAUUUAGAAUUUAACUUUUCAGUCAAAAGGCUGAAAUAAAGUUGGAGGACGAGAAGACCCUAUAGAUCUUUACAUUUAAUUUAAUUAUUUUGUUUGGGUAGGUUUUAAAUUUUUAAGGCAAAUGUUUCGUUGGGGUGACGGGAAGAUAAAUAAAACUCUUUUUAAAUAGAACACUGAUGAGUGAAUAGUUGAUCCAUUGUUGAUGAUUAUAAGACUAAGUUACCUUAGGGAUAACAGCGUAAUCUUUUUUGAGAGUUCUAAUCGACAAAAAGGGUUGCGACCUCGAUGUUGGACUAAGGGUAAUUUUGGGUGUAGCAGCUCAAAUUUUAGGUCUGUUCGACCUUUAAAUCCUUACAUGAUCUGAGUUCAGACCGGCGUAAGCCAGGUCGGUUUCUAUCCUCAAUUAAAGAAAGUAUUUUAGUACGAAAGGACCAAAUAUUUAAGAUAUUCUUUAGAAGUGAAUCAUAAUAACA
rnacentral:rRNA from 1 species